rnacentral:lncRNA from 1 species
AUGUAUGGACGAGGAAGAGUAAGAGCAAGGGGCCCAGGGAGAAGAGCAGGCCCAGUGAGAGGAGCAGGAGCAGUGAGAGAUGCAGGAGCAGUGAGAGGAGCAGAAGCAGUGAGAGAAGCAGGAGCAUUGAGAGAUGCAGUGAGAGGAGCAGGAACAGUGAGAGGAGCAGUGAGAGGAGCAGGAGCAGUGAGAGGAGCAGGAGCAUUGAGAGAUGCAGUGAGAGGAGCAGUAGCAGUGAACAGUGAGAGGAGCAGUAGCAGUGAGAGGAGCAGGAGCAGUGAGAGGAGCAGGAGCAGUGAGAGGAGCAGUGAGAAAUGCAGGAGCAGUGAGAGGAGCAGUGAGAGGAGAAGGAGCAGUGAGAGGAGCAGUGAGAGGAGCAAGAACAGUGAGAGGAGCAGUGAGAGAUGCAGGAGCAGUGAGAGAUGCAGUGAGAGGUGCAGGAUCAGUGAGAGAUGCAGGAGCAGUGAGAGGAGCAGUGAGAGGAGCAGUGAGAGGAGCAGGAGCAGUGAGAGGAGCAGUGAGAGAUGCAGGAGCAGUGAGAGGAGCAGUGAGAGGAGCAGUGAGAGGAGCAGGAGCAGUGAGAGGAGCAGUGAGAGAUGCAGGAGCAGUGAGAGGAGCAGUGAGAGGAGCAGUGAGAGGAGCAGGAGCAGUGAGAGGAGCAGGAGCAGUGAGAGGAGCAGUGAGAAAUGCAGGAGCAGUGAGAGGAGCAGUGAGAGGAGAAGGAGCAGUGAGAGGAGCAGUGAGAGGAGCAAGAACAGUGAGAGGAGCAGUGAGAGAUGCAGGAGCAGUGAGAGAUGCAGUGAGAGGUGCAGGAUCAGUGAGAGAUGCAGGAGCAGUGAGAGGAGCAGUGAGAGGAGCAGUGAGAGGAGCAGGAGCAGUGAGAGGAGCAGUGAGAGAUGCAGGAGCAGUGAGAGGAGCAGUGAGAGGAGCAGUGAGAGGAGCAGGAGCAGUGAGAGGAGCAGUGAGAGAUGCAGGAGCAGUGAGAGGAGCAGUGAGAGGAGCAGGAGCAGUGAGAGGAGCAGUGAGAGGAGCAGUGAGAGGAGCAGUGAGAGGAGCAGUGAGAGAUGCAGUGAGAGGAGCAGUGAGAAGUGA